CAGUGUUCACUCCUGUCGGCUGACUCCUUGAAUAACCACAGAGUAGCCAAUCAGAAACGAGCUUGGAAGGAGAGCGAGGGUGGGGAGCAGAAGCAUCCCAUCUGCUGCGAAGGAGACUGUUUUUUACGUGGAGAUAACCUCAGCUUGUCAUGUGCUGAGAGAGCAGAUGGCAGCCUUCGUCAUUAGCCGUUAACGCUUCAAGUGCCAAAUGCCAGGCCCAUAAAGUGCUCCCUUGGAAACAAACAAAAUUAUUAAACAAAGGUCUAUUCCUUGGACUCUGCUGACUCUUUCCAAAGCUUCUACAGUCCCCACAAGGCUCAGAUGAAGAAUCCUAUACUGGAGCGCCUGGCAGAGCAGAUCGCGACCCUGUGUGCCACCCUGAAGGAGUACCCGGCUGUGCGGUAUCGGGGGGAAUACAAGGACAAUGCCCUGCUGGCUCAGCUAAUCCAGGACAAGCUCGAUGCCUAUAAAGCUGAUGACCCAACAAUGGGGGAGGGCCCAGACAAGGCACGCUCCCAGCUCCUGAUCCUGGAUCGAGGCUUUGACCCCAGCUCCCCUGUGCUCCACGAAUUGACUUUUCAGGCUAUGAGUUAUGAUCUGCUGCCUAUCGAAAAUGAUGUAUACAAGUACGAGACCAGUGGCAUUGGGGAGGCACGGGUGAAGGAAGUGCUCCUGGACGAGGACGACGACCUGUGGAUAGCACUGCGCCACAAGCACAUCGCAGAGGUGUCCCAGGAAGUCACCCGGUCUCUGAAAGAUUUUUCUUCUAGCAAGAGAAUGAAUACUGGAGAGAAGACCACCAUGCGGGACCUGUCCCAGAUGCUGAAGAAGAUGCCUCAGUACCAGAAAGAACUCAGCAAGUACUCCACCCACCUGCACCUUGCUGAGGACUGUAUGAAGCAUUACCAAGGCACCGUAGACAAACUCUGCCGAGUGGAGCAGGACCUGGCCAUGGGCACAGAUGCUGAGGGAGAGAAGAUCAAGGACCCUAUGCGAGCCAUCGUCCCCAUUCUGCUGGACGCCAAUGUCAGCACUUACGACAAAAUCCGCAUCAUCCUUCUGUACAUCUUUUUAAAGAAUGGCAUCACAGAGGAAAACCUGAACAAACUGAUCCAGCAUGCCCAGAUACCCCCGGAGGAUAGUGAGAUCAUCACCAACAUGGCCCACCUCGGCGUGCCCAUCGUCACCGAUUCCACGCUGCGUCGCCGGAGCAAGCCAGAGCGGAAGGAGCGCAUCAGCGAGCAGACCUACCAGCUCUCACGGUGGACUCCGAUUAUCAAGGACAUCAUGGAGGACACUAUUGAGGACAAACUUGACACCAAACACUACCCUUAUAUCUCUACCCGUUCCUCUGCCUCCUUCAGUACCACCGCCGUCAGCGCCCGCUAUGGGCACUGGCAUAAGAACAAGGCCCCAGGCGAGUACCGCAGUGGCCCCCGCCUCAUCAUUUUCAUCCUUGGGGGUGUGAGCCUGAAUGAGAUGCGCUGCGCCUACGAGGUGACCCAGGCCAACGGAAAGUGGGAGGUGCUGAUAGGAUCCACGCACAUCCUCACCCCACAGAAACUGCUGGACACACUGAAGAAACUGAAUAAAACAGAUGAAGAAAUAAGCAGUUAAAAAAAAAGUCGCCCCUCCAAAACACGUCCCCAUCCCACAGCGCUCCGCAGCUUCCCACCACCGCCCGCCUCAGUUCCUUUGCGUCUGUUGCCUCCCCAGCCCUGCACGCCCUGGCUGGCACUGUUGCUGCUGCGUUCUCGUGUUCAGUGAUGCCCUCUUCUCGUUUGAAACAAAAGAAAAUAAUGCAUUGUGUUUUUUAAAAAGAGUAUCUUAUAUAUGUAUCCUAAAAAGAGAAGUUCACGUGCAAUUGGUGCACAGCAGGAGAAAUUUCUGGACUGUUAGGAUGAAUGGACGCCUUCUCCUCGUUAUUUAGGAUUUGUGACCUUGUACAUAACCCUGGGUGACAUGUGCACAUUGCUUGGGUAUGGAACGGUAGAAAUUUGGGUGUUUUUAAAACCUUGUUUGGGGUUGUUCCUGUCCUUGUUGAGAAUCACAGAGAUGUCUGUGUUCUUGGAGUAUUUCACACUGAGGACUAAUCUGUUAUCUUCAUUCCAGUCCCUACCCCUCAGUGCCUGCUCUCAUCCAAAUAACCUGGGAGGUGACAAUCGGGAUAUCUCAGGAGGUCCGAGGUGGAACAAACCUCUUUGCCUUUCCCAGAGUCUCAUACCCCCGGUAGUGCAGCUGUGGGUGGAGGCUGGGGUGUCUGCACGAAGCCAGGCCAGCGUCCUCCUCCACAGCCUGUCACUGCCCCCUCCCCAGCCUGUGUCCACAGUGCUGUGAUCCCGAGGGAAGUCCUCCAUUGUAAGUCACAGUGCCCUGACAGGUGAGAAGCAAACUCCCGCUGGAAGCCUCCAUUUCUUUGGAAAAACAGUUAGUCUGGAGCCUGUGGCCCAGGCCCUUCUGUCCCCAGGCAUCAUCCCAACAGCUCAUUUUCCCUAGUCAGCCUUCGUUCAAGGGUCAGGAAUGGACCAGAACAGAUGGGUUCUGGAGGCCCCUGAACAGAGGGCUAUGGCUGUGGAGAAGGUUCUUGGCCCGUUGGACUCACACAGACCCUGUACCCUCUCAGCAAGCAUCUUCAGUCAGAUUAUCCUCAGUUUCAGAUACUUCAUAAUACCUUGUGUCGUGUGGGGUCAUACAUCAUCGUGUUUGUAAGAGAAGAUGAUCAUUUUAUUCUCUGUAUAAAACUCAGCUCUAAAGCAGAAACUAAAGCAGCAAAUGCAGGAAGGCUGUCUCGCCAUCCUCAAGACUCAGCAGCUCUCAUUCUCCAGUGGUGAGCACACCAUUUGUGCUGCUGCUGUUGUGAAAUAUAAUAACAGUGGAAGUCACAAAAAUGUCCCCUGCCCAGCCCCCUCGCCGCCCUUGACCUCCUGCAGGCCAUGUGUGUAUUACUUGUCUAGUGAUGUCCUCUUAAAGUGCUGUACGCGAGCUCGGCGCCACCUCCGCCUCCCUUUCAGAGCCUGCUCCCCGCCCUCUCCGCUCGCUGCAUUGUGGUGUUCUCUUCUCAAAGCUUUGAAAUCUCCCCUUGCACUGAGAUUAGUCGUCGGAUCUCUCCCCGUCUCCCUCCCAACUUAUACGACCUGAUUUCCUUAGGACGGAACUGCAGGCACCUGCGCCGGGUGUCUUAUUCCCGCUGCUUGUUCUGUCCUCUCCCUCGGACCAAACAGUGCUCAUGCUUCAGGACCUUGUUUGUUGAAGAUGUUGGUUUCCCUUUCUCUGUUAUUUAUAUAAAAAUAAUUUAUCAAAAGGAUAUUUUAAAAAAGCUAGUCUGUCUUGAAACUUGUUUACCUUAAAAUUAUCAGAAUCUCAGUGUUUGAAAGUAUUGAAGCACAAACAUAUAUCAUCUCUGUACCAUUCUGUACUAAAGCACUUGAGUCUAAUAAAUAAAGAAAUCAGCACCCCUUCCCGGUGUCCAGGGGGCUCCAGUCUGGCUUUCCUUUGGGCAACGGAAGGAGAAAGCUUUCGCAGUGCUUCAUCGCAGAGGAGGCGGCCACCCCUGGCUGUGGCAUGGAGUCUUCUGGACCCAGGUCCCCGUUGCUUCCGUUAGAUCUGUAGCCGCCUCGCACUGGGGACUAGCCAUGGAGCUUGUCUUGGGCCCCUAGCAGCAACAGGGCGCUGCCUAGAGAUGAGGCCAUUCUUC
rnacentral:sRNA from 1 species